rnacentral:rRNA from 1 species
CCUACGGGAGGCAGCAGUGGGGAAUAUUGCACAAUGGGCGGAAGCCUGAUGCAGCGACGCCGCGUGAGGGAUGACGGCCUUCGGGUUGUAAACCUCUUUCCAGUAGGGAAGAAGCGUAAGUGACGGUACCUGCAGAAGAAGCGCCGGCUAACUACGUGCCAGCAGCCGCGGUAAUACGUAGGGCGCAAGCGUUAUCCGGAAUUAUUGGGCGUAAAGAGCUCGUAGGCGGUUUGUCGCGUCUGCCGUGAAAGUCCGGGGCUCAACUCCGGAUCUGCGGUGGGUACGGGCAGACUAGAGUGAUGUAGGGGAGACUGGAAUUCCUGGUGUAGCGGUGAAAUGCGCAGAUAUCAGGAGGAACACCGAUGGCGAAGGCAGGUCUCUGGGCAUUAACUGACGCUGAGGAGCGAAAGCAUGGGGAGCGAACAGGAUUAGAUACCCUGGUAGUCCAUGCCGUAAACGUUGGGCACUAGGUGUGGGGGACAUUCCACGUUUUCCGCGCCGUAGCUAACGCAUUAAGUGCCCCGCCUGGGGAGUACGGCCGCAAGGCUAAAACUCAAAGGAAUUGACGGGGGCCCGCACAAGCGGCGGAGCAUGCGGAUUAAUUCGAUGCAACGCGAAGAACCUUACCAAGGCUUGACAUGGACUGGAAACAUCUGGAAACAGGUGCCCCGCUUGCGGCCGGUUCACAGGUGGUGCAUGGUUGUCGUCAGCUCGUGUCGUGAGAUGUUGGGUUAAGUCCCGCAACGAGCGCAACCCUCGUUCCAUGUUGCCAGCGCGUAAUGGCGGGGACUCAUGGGAGACUGCCGGGGUCAACUCGGAGGAAGGUGGGGACGACGUCAAAUCAUCAUGCCCCUUAUGUCUUGGGCUUCACGCAUGCUACAAUGGCCGGUACAAAGGGUUGCGAUACUGUGAGGUGGAGCUAAUCCCAAAAAGCCGGUCUCAGUUCGGAUUGGGGUCUGCAACUCGACCCCAUGAAGUCGGAGUCGCUAGUAAUCGCAGAUCAGCAACGCUGCGGUGAAUACGUUCCCGGGCCUUGUACACACCGCCCGUCAAGUCACGAAAGUUGGUAACACCCGAAGCCGGUGGCCUAACCCCUUGUGGGAGGGAGCUGU